rnacentral:pre_miRNA from 1 species
GUGUGUGUGGAUGGUGUUCAGCACCAGGGACAGGUAUGUUUCAUUGUGUGGAUGGCAUUCAGCACCAGGGACAGGCAUGUUCACCU